rnacentral:sRNA from 1 species
UAUAAAUUUCUUCCUUAGCUGUCAUCUUAAAUCAUACUUCUUCAUGAUCGUUUUCUGGAUGUCUCGAGGUAUUAUGAAUGAUUAAAUUUUUUAAAGUAAACGAGGAUGCUAGUUUCCUAGCAGUAACACCAACUAUCAUGAAGGUCAAUUCUUUAGAGUCCCCUGCUCUGCUGUGAAAGAAAUUACUUUCGGUUAAUUUUGUGAUGUUCUUUCUUCCUAGUUUGUUAUUUUAGUUUAUCUGCACCUUUUGCCAUGUAUGAUCUAACAUAUGAUAUUUAGGUGGAUGUGUCAGUGGUUUGAAGCUGUAAAUUCUUUGUUCCGAACACCAAAAUUUACGUAUACUGAUUGUCAGUACUCCCUUUAAAAACGUACUUUAUGAUGAUUUUUCAAGCAAUAACUACUUUGCCGCCUACAGCUCAGGAGGCAAAUAUUCAAAGUCAUUUAUUUAUGUCCUUUUUCCAUAUCUUUAUGCUAUUCCUUUGUUUUUCGUACAAUAAAAGGUCUUUUCCAUAUCUUUAUUCCAGAGG